rnacentral:rRNA from 1 species
GCACCAGCUUGCUGGUGUGGAUGAGUGGCGAACAAGGUGAGUAAUACGUGAGUAACCUGCCCUUGACUCUGGGAUAAGCCCGGGAAACUGGGUCUAAUACUGGAUGCUACAUGUCACCGCAUGGUGGUGUGUGGAAAGGGUUUACUGGUCUUGGAUGGGCUCACGGCCUAUCAGCUUGUUGGUGAGGUAAUGGCUCACCAAGGCGACGACGGGUAGCCGGCCUGAGAGGGUGACCGGCCACACUGGGACUGAGACACGGCCCAGACUCCUACGGGAGGCAGCAGUGGGGAAUAUUGCACAAUGGGCGAAAGCCUGAUGCAGCGACGCCGCGUGAGGGAUGACGGCCUUCGGGUUGUAAACCUCUUUCAGCAGGGAAGAAGCCACAAGUGACGGUACCUGCAGAAGAAGCGCCGGCUAACUACGUGCCAGCAGCCGCGGUAAUACGUAGGGCGCAAGCGUUGUCCGGAAUUAUUGGGCGUAAAGAGCUCGUAGGCGGUUUGUCGCGUCUGCUGUGAAAGCCCGGGGCUUAACCCCGGGUGUGCAGUGGGUACGGGCAGACUAGAGUGCAGUAGGGGAGACUGGAAUUCCUGGUGUAGCGGUGGAAUGCGCAGAUAUCAGGAGGAACACCGAUGGCGAAGGCAGGUCUCUGGGCUGUUACUGACGCUGAGGAGCGAAAGCAUGGGGAGCGAACAGGAUUAGAUACCCUGGUAGUCCAUGCCGUAAACGUUGGGCACUAGGUGUGGGGGACAUUCCACGUUUUCCGCGCCGUAGCUAACGCAUUAAGUGCCCCGCCUGGGGAGUACGGCCGCAAGGCUAAAACUCAAAGG